rnacentral:lncRNA from 1 species
UGAGGCGGAAAGGUGAACACCAUAUUUACCCAGAAUCAGACAAUAACCAGCAUGAUGUCUAAAGGGACAAGCUCUGUUUGGAAAGUCACCCACACUCUAGUUGAGAAUGGCUUAUAGAGAGGCCAAGGAAGUCAUUUGUAGUACUCAGGAGGUUUGGCAUAACCGAGAUGAAAAACAGAACUUCCUUCAAUGUUUUGAUGCUCAGUUGGUGCGUGAGGAGAAGAGAUUGGAAGUUGAAGAGGAGCUCAGAGUUCAGGUGGAUGAACUGAUGAGGCAGGAACUGAAGAACCUUAAAUUGGUGGUGGACAGAGACGGGAAAGAAAAAGAAAAAAGUAAAGAAAAGUAGUAAAAAGGUGAAUGGCGUGCAUACUUCCUUUGAGAUAAGACCGUAAGCACAUUUUAAAUGACCUGCAUGAGUGACAG